UGGGGAAUUUUGGACAAUGGGCGAAAGCCUGAUCCAGCCAUUCCGCGUGAGUGAAGAAGGCCUUCGGGUUGUAAAGCUCUUUCGCAAGAGAAGAAAACUUACCCUCUAACAUAGGGUGAGGUUGACGGUACCUUGAUAAGAAGCACCGGCUAACUACGUGCCAGCAGCCGCGGUAAUACGUAGGGUGCGAGCGUUAAUCGGAAUUACUGGGCGUAAAGCGUGCGCAGGCGGUUUUGAAAGUCAGAUGUGAAAUCCCCGGGCUCAACCUGGGAACUGCGUUUGAAACUCCAAGACUCGAGUAUAGGAGAGGGGGGUAGAAUUCCACGUGUAGCAGUGAAAUGCGUAGAGAUGUGGAGGAAUACCAAUGGCGAAGGCAGCCCCCUGG
rnacentral:rRNA from 1 species